CAGUAGCCGCGGUAAUACGUAGGGUGCAAGCGUUACUCGGAAUUACUGGGCGUAAAGCGUGUGUAGGUGGUUGUUUAAGUCUGUCGUGAAAGCCCUGGGCUCAACCUGGGAAUUGCGAUGGAUACUGGGCGACUAGAGUGCGGUAGAGGAUAGUGGAAUUUCCGGUGUAGCAGUGAAAUGCGUAGAGAUCGGGAGGAACAUCAGUGGCGAAGGCGGCCAUCUGGGACAACACUGACGCUGAGGCACGAAAGCGUGGGGAGCAAACAGGAUUAGAUACCCCCGUAGUCCCUGUCUCUUAUAC
rnacentral:rRNA from 1 species